CGGUUCGGCCGGGCACUCUAACGGGACUGCCCGCGAAAGCGGGAGGAAGGAGGGGACGACGUCUGGUCAGCAUGGCCCUUACGGCCUGGGCGACACACGUGCUACAAUGCCCACUACAAAGCGAUGCCACCCGGCAACGGGAGCUAAUCGCAAAAAGGUGGGCCCAGUUCGGAUUGGGGUCUGCAACCCGACCCCAUGAAGCCGGAAUCGCUAGUAAUCGCGGAUCAGCCAUGCCGCGGUGAAUACGUUCCCGGGCCUU
rnacentral:rRNA from 1 species